rnacentral:rRNA from 1 species
CUACACAUGCAAGUCGAGCGGAAACGACACUAACAAUCCUUCGGGUGCGUUAAUGGGCGUCGAGCGGCGGACGGGUGAGUAAUGCCUAGGAAAUUGCCUUGAUGUGGGGGAUAACCAUUGGAAACGAUGGCUAAUACCGCAUGAUGCCUACGGGCCAAAGAGGGGGACCUUCGGGCCUCUCGCGUCAAGAUAUGCCUAGGUGGGAUUAGCUAGUUGGUGAGGUAAUGGCUCACCAAGGCGACGAUCCCUAGCUGGUCUGAGAGGAUGAUCAGCCACACUGGAACUGAGACACGGUCCAGACUCCUACGGGAGGCAGCAGUGGGGAAUAUUGCACAAUGGGCGAAAGCCUGAUGCAGCCAUGCCGCGUGUAUGAAGAAGGCCUUCGGGUUGUAAAGUACUUUCAGUUGUGAGGAAGGGUGUGUAGUUAAUAGCUGCGCAUCUUGACGUUAGCAACAGAAGAAGCACCGGCUAACUCCGUGCCAGCAGCCGCGGUAAUACGGAGGGUGCGAGCGUUAAUCGGAAUUACUGGGCGUAAAGCGCAUGCAGGUGGUUCAUUAAGUCAGAUGUGAAAGCCCGGGGCUCAACCUCGGAACUGCAUUUGAAACUGGUGAACUAGAGUGCUGUAGAGGGGGGUAGAAUUUCAGGUGUAGCGGUGAAAUGCGUAGAGAUCUGAAGGAAUACCAGUGGCGAAGGCGGCCCCCUGGACAGACACUGACACUCAGA